GAUGCGGUGGCUCAAUGGUAGAGCUUUCGACUCCAGUUCUCUGAGCAGCAAUCGAAGGGCUGCAGGUUCAAUUCCUGUCCGUGUCA
rfam:Ascoidea rubescens DSM 1968 unplaced genomic scaffold ASCRTscaffold_5, whole genome shotgun sequence.